rfam:Janthinobacterium agaricidamnosum NBRC 102515 = DSM 9628, complete genome
CUGCCCAUAGCUCAGUUGGAUAGAGCAUCAGCCUUCUAAGCUGAGGGUCACAGGUUCGAUUCCUGUUGGGCAGG